GUACCAGACUCCUACGGGAGGCAGCAGUGGGGAAUAUUGGGCAAUGGGCGCAAGCCUGACCCAGCAACGCCGCGUGAAGGAAGAAGGCUUUCGGGUUGUAAACUUCUUUUAAGAGGGAAGAGAAGAAGACGGUACCUCUUGAAUAAGCCGCGGCUAACUACGUGCCAGCAGCCGCGGUAAUACGUAGGUGGCAAGCGUUGUCCGGAUUUACUGGGUGUAAAGGGCGUGCAGCCGGGCUGACAAGUCAGAUGUGAAAUCCCGCGGCUCAACCGCGGAACUGCAUUUGAAACUGUCGGUCUUGAGUACCGGAGAGGUCAUCGGAAUUCCUUGUGUAGCGGUGAAAUGCGUAGAUAUAAGGAAGAACACCAGUGGCGAAGGCGGGUGACUGGACGGCAACUGACGGUGAGGCGCGAAAGCGUGGGGAGCAAACAGGAUUAGAUACCCCGGUA
rnacentral:rRNA from 1 species